UCCCUCCAGUAAGGCAUGUUUAUUAAGGCUGAAAAGGAGAUGAGAGAGAAGUAUGAAAGUGUGUUAGCGGUUCUAAACUCAAGUUCAGGAGAUAAAUACCAGGCCUGGAUUACUAUGACCGAAUUAGGAGAACUUAAGUACUCUCCUGCUUUAAUUACAAUUGCUUGGGCCAAGCUGCUUGGAACCCAUACCAGGCAGAACCUGGAUUUG